AGUUCCUACGGGACGCAGCAGUGGGGAAUAUUGCACAAUGGGCGCAAGCCUGAUGCAGCGACGCCGCGUGCGGGAUGGAGGCCUUCGGGUUGUAAACCGCUUUUGUUCAAGGGCAAGGCACGGUCUUUGGCCGUGUUGAGUGGAUUGUUCGAAUAAGCACCGGCUACCUACGUGCCAGCAGCCGCGGUAAUACGUAGGGUGCAAGCGUUAUCCGGAUUUAUUGUUCGUAAAGGGCUCGUAGGCGGUUCGCCGCGUC
rnacentral:rRNA from 1 species